rnacentral:antisense_RNA from 1 species
CUUGAAGGAGCCCAGCCAGAGCGGUUCGUCGCGGUCCUGGCCGUAGGUGGCGAGGAGCGCGGACGCCUC